rnacentral:rRNA from 1 species
GACGAACGCUGGCGGCGUGCUUAACACAUGCAAGUCGAACGGAAGGGCCCUGCUUUUGUGGGGUGCUCGAGUGGCGAACGGGUGAGUAACACGUGAGUAACCUGCCCUUGACUUUGGGAUAACUUCAGGAAACUGGGGCUAAUACCGGAUAGGAGCUCCUGCUGCAUGGUGGGGGUUGGAAAGUUUCGGCGGUUGGGGAUGGACUCGCGGCUUAUCAGCUUGUUGGUGGGGUGGUGGCUUACCAAGGCUUUGACGGGUAGCCGGCCUGAGAGGGUGACCGGCCACAUUGGGACUGAGAUACGGCCCAGACUCCUACGGGAGGCAGCAGUGGGGAAUAUUGCACAAUGGGCGGAAGCCUGAUGCAGCAACGCCGCGUGCGGGAUGACGGCCUUCGGGUUGUAAACCGCUUUCGCCUGUGACGAAGCGUGAGUGGCGGUAAUGGGUAAAGAAGCACCGGCUAACUACGUG